rnacentral:rRNA from 1 species
UACGAAGGGUGCAAGCGUUACUCGGAAUUACUGGGCGUAAAGCGUGCGUAGGCGGUUUGUUAAGUCUGUCGUGAAAGCCCCGGGCUCAACCUGGGAAUGGCGAUGGAUACUGGCGAGCUAGAGUACGGUAGAGGAGAGUGGAAUUCCCGGUGUGGCAGUGAAAUGCGUAGAGAUCGGGAGGAACAUCAGUUGCGAAGGCGGCUCUCUGGACCAGUACUGACGCUGAGGCACGAAAGCGUGGGGAGCAAACAGG